AUUGAACGCUGGCGGCAGGCCUAACACAUGCAAGUCGAGCGGAUGAAGGGAGCUUGCUCCUGGAUUCAGCGUCGGACGGGUGAGUAAUGCCUAGGAAUCUGCCUGGUAGUGGGGGAUAACGUCCGGAAACGGGCGCUAAUACCGCAUACGUCCUGAGGGAGCAAGUGGGGGAUCUUCGGACCUCACGCUAUCAGAUGAGCCUAGGUCGGAUUAGCUAGUUGGUGGGGUAAAGGCCUACCAAGGCGACGAUCCGUAACUGGUCUGAGAGGAUGAUCAGUCACACUGGAACUGAGACACGGUCCAGACUCCUACGGGAGGCAGCAGUGGGGAAUAUUGGGCAAUGGGCGAAAGCCUGAUCCAGCCAUGCCGCGUGUGUGAAGAAGGUCUUCGGAUUGUAAAGCACUUUAAGUUGGGAGGAAGGGCAGUAAGUUAAUACCUUGCUGUUUUGACGGUACCAACAGAAUAAGCACCGGCUAACUUCGUG
rnacentral:rRNA from 1 species